CCCUCGGGCUCUGGCCACACGGGUCUCCCCCUUGAGUUGGCUCCGCAAACCGGACCCCUUCCUCCAUGAUGCCUCCCUCCCCCUGGGGCUAAAUCCAGCCCCUUUGCCGCCAGGGGGUUGGCUGGGGGGGCCUGUCCCAGGCAAAAGGGCAGGUAGCCGGGACCCUCCAGGGAGCUCUGCAGCCCCCGCCUCUGCCUGCUUGCCAACCUGCUCUGCCCUGCCUGCUGGCCAGGUCGACCCACCUGGAGCUCUGUCGCCCGACCUGACCCACCCGCCCCUUCUCCGUGCUCGAAAUCACCGGGCUCGUGACUCUCUUGGCCUCACUUGUCUCGCCGUCUGCCUAGCAGUUUGGUUUUCUUUGCUGAGCCCACACCGCUGCCUCGUCUGUCCUCCACCUGCUUGCUUUCUGCCCUUCUGUCGGGUCCAAAUACUCCUCUCCCUAAGGACCCCCGUCCUCCCCCAGAGAGUUUGCAGCCGGUCUCCAGUGCUCACGGGACAGGCCUCCCCCAGACAUCCUCGGAUGCUUCCUCCCAUGGGGGUGGGUGGGGCAGGGCCACCAUGGCCGCACCCAGACUUCGGUCCCGCCCCUCGCCCCCGUGCCUCUUGUCGUGUCCCCUUGGGUGUUAGCCACAGCCUGUCCCUGUCAGCCCUGGGCUCUGCCACGUCCCAGGCCUCGUGACCGGUUUGGGGGGCUGCCACCUGGGCCCGUGGCCUCUCCUCACACCUCUUCCCAUCACUGCUCAUCUCCACGAGCCACCUCCUUCCACCGAAAGCCACGCCGCAGGUGAGACGGGGCUCCAAGCCUUUUCGAGCUUUUCCGGAGUGCUAGCCUCGCCGCAGUCCUAAGUUCCCGCGUCUCCUCCAGGUCAGCCCUGUCCCUGGCACGCGGGCCGCCACCUGGUUGGGUCGGCCGGAGAACCAGACGGAAGAGGCAGGAGAAGCCCCCGGAGGAGCGCCACCCUGCACCCAGCCUUCUUUCCCGAUGCUCGCCUGGCGUCUCGCGCCCAGCGCUGUGCCUCUCCGCUCCUUCCUGGCUCCGGGUGAGUUUCUUGCUUUCUUGGGACACCAGGAUUUCGCUGGUUUCAGCACACGCCUCUAUUCGAGAAGUGCACAUUUAAGCCGGGGAGGGGGCGGCUACCAAGAGCGGAGCCUGUUCACCAGGCCUGCGAGCUGGGUGUCAGCGGGCUGCCUGGAACCAAGACCCUGGCCGCCCGGAGCCAGCGUGAGCGGGGCUCACCCCGGCCAGUGCACGCUGUGGACCAGGUGCGGUAAGUGAGGGGUGUCUGGCUCUGGCCGGGGCCCCCGAGAACCGGCUCGGGCCAGGCGCACGGUGGGUCCUCGGGGAAGCUUUGCUGAGCCUGUGGGUGGCAUGCAGGGCAGAGCGUUCGCCUUCUCUGGGCUCCGAGGCCCAGCCAGAGGGCCAGCGUGGGCAGGUGGAAACAGGAAAGCGCGUCCGCCUGUAGCCAGAAAACGUCUGUCCCCGAACGCCGUGCUGCGUCAGCCCCUGUGUGAAUGCUGGGGUCUCCCACACGAGGCUCUGACGAUGCCUUUCAAUCACAGAGUGGUUUUUGAGUGAGUUCUUCUCUGGGCCCUUCUUCCUCACCCCUGAAAUUGCAACAAGAUGGGAACGCUCGUGUCUGUUUAAAGAAAAUUCGUAACGAUAGAGAAGAAUUGUAGCCACACGGUUCACUCCAGCACCGAUCAUUUGUUUAUCCUCACUUACUCCAGACGCAUCGACGGAGCCAGGGGGGUGCUCAGGGCUGGGGCUCCUUUGGGCUGCCUAAGACCAGCUUUGCCUCGAGGACCAGAGGGUCUAGCCGCGUUCCCUGGGAGAUCCCACGCGGUGAUGUGGCCCAUGUGGCAGCCAAGCCAGGUGGACAGGAAGAAAGGGAGCUGGGCUGAGGGCACUUCGUGUUUUGGGGCCCCAGGAGCCGAGUCUCACCGCGGGACAAGAGGGUACUGUGUCAGGGCCAGCAGGCCACGGGGAUGUGCCAGCGAGGCUGGCUGUGUGCCUCGUGUGCCCCGCAUCGGAUGCUCCCGGGGUAGCCACUGGGGUGACGAGCGAGGGCAGUGAGACUCCCCUGGUGGUCCAGGUGGGAGGAACGGCCUGCUGAGGCUAACUCAGCCUCCCAGACGUUUAUGGAGCCUCGGGUGGGUCCCAGCGGUGUCCUUGGUCCAGAUGCCAGCAUCCCCCUUGGUGCCUACACCCGGGGCUCUGCGAGAGGGAAGAUGAUGAUCGGAGCUCCCUGCCGGAGUGUGGGAGGGUCCCCUCCAGGUGCAGCAGCCCACGGGCCGCCUGCUGUGGACCCCCAGGGUCCCUGCACCGCCCGCUUACAUAAUGGCUUUUCAUCAGACGCAGGCCUUCCACAGCCUUGCCCCUCUCCCCGGGAACGGAAGUGAGGUGUGGAGGUGAUUUUUAAACACAACCCCGUGCAGGCAGCAAGGGGCAGAGAGAGGUAUCCACACCUGGGGGCUGUUGCCUUUAUCUGCUUGUUUUCGCUCCCCAGAGAGCCAGUCAGGCUGCGGUGAGGCGGGGAGUGUGUGCCCAGGGCUAAACCCAAGGAAGGACACCGGGAAGCCCCGCCCUGUGAUAUUUGCUCCCUAGCUGGCAUUUGCGGAGCCACCACCUGCAAGCACGGUGACGUGGCAGAGAGGCCUGGGAGGGAAGCUUUACAUAGGGCGGGAUGCAGGUCUGGGGUGCGGUGGCGGGGGAGGGGGGGGGUGUUGUUUCCGGAGCUUACAGAGCAAAUCCGUGUAGCUAGUCUGAGCCAAGUGCCCAUGGUUUCUGGGACAUCUCAGGACUCCCUCGAGCUGGGCUGAGCUGAGGGGCAGAGUCAGGUGCCCAGCCAGUCCCAGACGUUGCCAGCCCCCCGCCCCCCACCCUCCACGGCAGUCUGGGAUGACAUCUCUUUGGGCCCCCUUGUAUUUCAGGUGCACUUGCGAAUAUUCGGUCUCGGGCAAACACGUAUUUUUGCGUGUUGUACAUAUUUGGGGUUUUGCGCGUCAUUAAGUGGAAAACAGAUGAAGACUAGAUCGAGGGUUCUUCUCAAUUAAAGAAGUUAAAACACAAGCUCGUCAAUCAGCCGUGCGGUCGGACGUCCCAGGAAUUACAGAACGGCCGUUGUUAGGUGUUGAAGGAAACGGCAUUUUCAGGAAAAUUCUUUUUUGAUGGAUUGGCCCGUCCCUGGGCGGUGAGAUCCUGGCUGGCCGGACAGAGGGCGGAGGCCCUGUCACUGGCAGGAGCGGGGUUCUCUGGCCAUUUGUCAUGUGCUAAGCUGUUUCCCGGGGCCUGUCUCUAGCUGGAGGCUGCCGGGAGGGCACCCAUGUCAGAGGGGGGAUGGUGGUCUUGUCCGGAAGCUGGCCCUCCUGUUCCACUGGCCUGCCCCUGGGUGGGUGUGAAAGGGAGCCCAGAGCACAACUCAGCCUCUGUGCUCCUAGAAAGGCACCAAGCGUCCCUCUGCCCCGCAUUUUCCCACCUGCAGGUUCCUUGGUGGGGGGAGGUGCAUUGAAGCUUUCAAGGCCCCUGACCUUGUGACUUGUGAUUCAAACCCCAAAUGCAUUUCCAAGCACAUUUCUCCAAAUCAUGUCAAAACCUGGCAAGACUGAAGGGCACCAGGAUGCAUGUGUUUCUUAUUCAUUUACAUGAAGUAACUCAAAUGUGUUUUUUAUGAGCAAUCUGACUUCUAGAAAGAGAAAAAAAAAUCUACCCAUCUUUAAUGAGCUUGCUAAUGAAUUUUUCCUUGAAAAGAAGAAGGCGGCUUUACACAGAAGGGGGUGUGGAGAGAGACAAAUUAAGGUUCCAAAGGGUUAAAGGGCAGCGGGCAAUGUGGAGACCAGCAUUGUCAGCUGAAUGGCGAAGGGCUCGCGGCUCCGGGGGCAGUGUCUUUUUAGAAGACCAGAGUUUAACACAGUUGUGGAUGAAGGCCCAGGAGCCGUGCCCCCUUCCCGCCGCUGCUUUGAGCCCUGUCCUCUCUCCUAAAAGGGGAACAAGGAAGUACAGCCUGGCUCCCGUCUCUGGGUUCGGCAGAUGGAAAAUUCUGGCAGAGAAUUGUAUCUUUCCCAACGAGGCCAUCUCAGAUGUGGGGUUCCCAUUUUGAAAGGGGGACCCAAGCGUGGGUGGGGAAGGAGGGGGCGCUCCCUCCACGGUGCCUUGGGUCCAGGGGACAGCCCCGGGUCCCUUGCGGCUUUGAGAAGCCGGGCCCUUAGGGAAGGCUUUAGAGAAGGACGGUGUUGGAGAUGCCGGCUCUGGUUCUUGGCGUGGAACGAGUCAGUGUUUCAGAGCCAGGAAAGGUGUGCAUUGAGAGAGCCACUGUCACUCCCUUGGGAGGAGGUUGGACACCCUCGGGCCACUGCAGCAGGACAGAGCAGUGCCAGCGAGAGGGGUCUCGAGUUUAGUUGGAUCCAGCCGAAGUGGGGAGGACCCAUCUCGGGGGGAGCCCAUACAUCCUGGAAUUUCUAGCGUCUUCUGGAUGUUAGACACUUGGUCCCAUACCUCGGUCCUCACUGUGGAGAACUGAUCGCCCCUACCCGUGCUUUUGGGAACUGAGUGGUGAGAAAGUCUCCAGAGAUAUCCGCGUUUGUCUUCCCAGCUCCCUUGCCCACCCCCACUCCCAGCCCUGGGAUCGUGAGGGACCAGGGAGCAGAGCAGGUGCUGGGUAGCUCAGGCUGGGGUCGGCCCCACUUGGGAUGCGUGCGGGAGGGGAAUUAAUCAGGGGGAGAGGAGAGUGGUGGAGGGUGUAGUCGUGGGUCUCUUAAUUGCUCUCCAGUUUCUUUGGGCUUACAAACAAUCCAGAUGGAGAGUUCUUAAGUCCCCCACCCUGGGGGUCGGGGGAGAGGACGGCUGCCCACCACCUUUUGCCUGGCUUCUCUGCGCAGUGAAUAGGGUCUUUGGCAGGGGCUUAAGGAGGGACUCUUAGCCUGGGAGCUCCCAGGGCCGUUUGAGGCGGAACAAAGGCGCAGGCAGAAAGGAAUGUGGGGGAGCCCCCCAUGGAGAACAGCCACCUGGGGAUAAUCGGGAGGGCCGAGUGCACAUGAGUUUUCCCAGGUCCUGUGAAUACAUUCUUUCAAUAGAAGGUGCCUUUUCUUCAGAUGAAAAGAAGAAAAGUUCAGUCACCUUCCCUGGAACGGAGUGUGUGUGUGUGUGUGUGUGUGUGUGUGUGCGCGUGUGUGUGUCGGGAGCUGCAAGGCGCAGACAAGAGGCCGCACAAUGACACGGUUAAGCAGUCACCCCAGCAGCGUGACCUCAGACACGCUGGUGCUCCUUGGGCCUAAGGGCUUGUAUUCUGCAAGUUUCUCAGGAGGAAGAAGAGUCCUUGCCUGUAAACAAGGAUUUGAUCAAACCAGGCCUCAUGCCCGAGAGAAAGCCGGGGAGGCAGAUGGGGCCAGGGGGACAGCGCUCCGGCGUGGAAAGUUGGAGAAGGACAGUCAGAGGGGCUGGAGGCUGACCACGUGUCUGUGCCAGGCGUGCGGGACUCCGCUGGGCGGCUCCUGUCUUCGAGGCUCGUUCUCUGGGCCGUCCCGAGGGUGGACAUAGGGUUGUUCCCAGCAGGUUAGGGAAGAGGGAGCUGGUGCUUGCAGUUAGGGAGGGUGGCGGGGUCAGCGUGGCUCACAGGGCCAGGGCGGCCCCCAGCAAGGGGACCCUCUCGGAUGGAGGGCAGAGAGCUUGCCCCAAACUACCCUGAGGGCUCCGCCCCCCUGGACCAACGGGGCGAUACCCCGCCACAGAAGGAAGGGGACCCCGUCCCAGUCUUGGCCGGUGCCUCUUGCUGCUGGCUUCCGGGCCUCCAUUUUGCCAUCUGUAAAAUGAGGCAGUAGCCUGUCAACCUUGCAUGGUGUUCUGUAAGGCAGAAGGAGCACGGGAUGUCAGCUAGGGAGAGGCCAGGGCCCCGCUUCACCGGAGUGGGAGGACGGAAGGCCUCAGGUGUCCAGAUGGGGCCCCCACUGGCCUCUAGGACGCACUCCCACUACUCAGCACUGGUCACUGAGAGGAGGAAACUCUGAACGGGUGCUCUGAGUGCAGCAGCUGCCCUGGAACAGCCUUCGGGAGACCUGGUUCCAGCCCGGGCUCAGCCCCACCUAUGGGUGUGACCUUGGAUCCUGUCUCUGGCCUGCUUGGCCUUGAUUUUCCCAACUGCAACAUGGGGCCAUGCAGGAUCUCGGUCAUCUGAGGGCCCUUGGAGCUCUGGCUUCCUUCUGGCUGCCUCAGUGGUCCUCUGUGGUUUGUCUGUCUGCUUGCUGGGUCUCUAGAGUCCGAGGGCCCGGGAUUACUGGUCCGCUGCUGUCCGGCCUCCUCUGCUUUCGAGAGGAGACAGAGACCGGAGAGGGUUGAUGCCUUGCUCCAGGUAGCAGGCCCUGGAUGUGAAGCCCACUCCCAGUGGCUGGGCCCCGCUUGGCCAGCAUGGGCAAUGGGGUUGCGGUCAUUAGCCAGUCCCCACGGUCUGACACCCCCCCCUCCCCAGCCACUUUUUGACCCCAAGAUCCUGAUAGUGCUCACACCCCAAGCUAGCUCCGAGGGACUGCCUGUGGGCGCUGGGGCCGGAAUGGCAUUUUAUAGAGCGUUUUACCAAAUGGGUGGGCCGCUGGCCAGGCCUGGAAAACCCUUCUGGGCUGUGGGGUGGUCACCGUGUAACGGAGCCGAGCCGGCCCCGUGGCGGCGGGUCCCAGGAGGCUGUGGCUGCCGCACCUGCCCCUGUGGCUCACCUGGUGUCUUUUGGUCACGAGACCCUCGGCAGCACCUACGUUGGCGUCCUCGCCCGCUCGGCUGAGAACUUCCCGAAAAAGCCAUCAGGGUGGUAACUUCUGGAAAAGUGAUCAGUCCCCAGGCUUGUGCUGGCUGCCCGUCUCGGACCCAACUUGGAAGCUGUCUGCGGCUCUCUCUCUGUGUUUUCGGCUGUGAUAGUAAACGGCUCGCGGGGCCUCGGGUCGGUCCCGCACCGGGUUAUUGCCGCAGCGGGCUGUGGCCUCUGUUUUGUGACCUUGGUGGCAAUGGUACCUGGAAGCUGAAAUGAGGAAUAGCGAAAUUGCCAACUUCAAUUAGACCAGCGACUGCCUUUCCCGGGGCUGUGCCUCCACCACUGCUCCAUUAACCGUAAACAUACGCCAAAUAGGCCCUAAUUCUCUCUAAUUGCCCACUCCUGAAGCAAAGAGUGAAAUUCCAGGAAGAGGCAUAUGUAAACAUCCUCCAUGGCCCCGCCAGCCAAAAUUAGAGGGCUGAUGGGGGCCAGCAAGAGAGGGGCCAUGAUUUCAAAAGAUGGCCCAAUUACCUCUCCCAUUUUCAUAAAUGGGUCCAUAAUGUCCAGGCCCCGGUCUUCACAAAGGUACAGGAAAUUAGCUUUGCAAAGAGCCUGCGUCUGUGAGGGGAAGUUGUGGGAGGGUGGUCUUUACUCAACAGGUAGGCAGCCUGAGAUCUGAGGCGAGCCUGAUUAUUUGUAUAAACUACAGGCUGUAUUUCUGGAAAUCACCAUUUUAUUGAAAAUAAUCCUUUUAACGUCUCUCCCUGCACUACACAUCCACGAGUUAUGUGUACCAAAGGCAUGCCAGAUCAGUUGGGUCCGGUUGGCCUCCAGAAAAGAGGAACUUUUAAGACCUUGAGCUAGAAUGUUCUAAUCCUGUUAAGCCACGGAGGAGGUUUCUGGGGUGUCCACCAACGCUUCCUGCGUGGCUCGUGAGUUCAGUGCACGCAUUUGUGAGGUCUGAGCUCAAAUGCUUGCGGCGGCUGUUCCCCUGGACCCUGUAAGGAGGCCUUGUGUUUUCCUCUGGUUCCAGACAGUGACUCAUCUCUGCAGCUUUUCUGACAUCUGUUACGAUUCCAGCCCGGCACUGCGUUGUUAUACAUCACAGCAAACGCGGGGCCGGUGCCCACAGCUUUGAAACUGUCGCAUGACUUUGCCAGGGCUGUGUCUGCACAAGCAGCCUGGGGUCUGCGUGAAAGUUAAUCAGGGACAGUGAGGAACCCCGGGGAAUUCUUGGAGCCCCCGGGGCAGAAGCAGGAAGAGACCCAGAUGCCCCGAGCUACCUCUGAUUUCCCUGGUCCUGGUAAACGCACCAAAGUCCUUUCCCCAACUCUUAGUCCCACGGGAGGUGACAGUGCCUGGGGUCUUGCUGUGCAUUCAGGGUCUGGAGUCCCAUUGUCCCCUUAGGACUGUGGCAACCAUGAGGGGCGCACCCCAGGCGCUCGCAGGCCCCUGGGGAGGCCUGGAACUGUCUCGGGUGGUAUCCAGCUCAAAGUGGGAGGCUCAGAGGGGCACCUGGGUGGCUCCAUCGGUUGAGCAUCUGACUUCAGCUCAGGUCCUGAUCGCAAGGUUUGUGAGUUCGAGCCCCGCAUCGGACUCUGUGCUGACGGCUCAGAGCCUGGAGCCUGUUUUGGAUUCUGUGUCUCCUACUCUCUCUGCCCCUUCCCUGCUCACACUCUGCCUCUGUCUCUCUCAAAAGCAAAUAAACAUUAAAAAAUUUUUUUUAAAAAUGGGGGGCCCAGAGCUUUUACCUAACCAGAGUCUGCCCUUGGUCAGCCACCAGCUUCUAUUUAUUAACAUUUAUAUCUUAAAGACUAUUUGGUUUUUGUUCAUAAGAUCAACCGAUGAGGGGAAAACAGUGUUUGGGAAGCUCAAGGCCAAGGAAGGAAUUUUUAGGAGGAUUUGGAAACGAGUUGUGCCCUCCUGUGUCCUGGCCGAGUCCUGGGUACACAGUGAUGGACGCUACUGAGAAUAAAGAGGUGUAGGCAGUGGGGGGAUCCCCUAGGGCUUAAGUCAGGGCAGGGGGAGUUGCAGAGAGCCUCUUCCCACCUUGGGGCUCCCUGCCUGCACCCGCUCUUGCCCCAACCUCUGGUUCCGCCCUCACCCACCUCAGCUGUCACAGACCACCUUUCGGCCACACCUCCUUACCUUCACUAGACUCUACUGAACACGUGUGCAAAAUCGACUUGCUCAAAAUAACGUUUUUUGUUUUAUUUUAUUAAAUUAUUUUUUAAUGUUUAUUUUUGAGAGAGAGACAGAGAGAGACAGACCAUGAGUGGGGGAGGGGCAGGGAGAGGGAGACACAGAAUCCGAAGCGGGCUCCAGGCUCCGAGCUGUCAGCACAGAGCCCGUCGUGGGGCUCGAACUCACGAACCGCGAGAUCAUGACCUGAGCUGAAGUGGGACACUCAACCGGCGGAGCCCCCCCAGGCGCUCCUGUUUUGUUUUUUAACAAAUUGACUUCUUUCCUGAGCAGUCUUAGGGUUACAGAAAGAGUCAAUGGCGUCCACACAGACCCCAGUUUCUCCCGUCAUUAACACCUUGUAGCGUGGCGGCACAUUUAUCUUGCUUGCGGAGCCCAUCUCUGAUGCGUCGUCAUUAGCUAAAGUCCAACGCUGACGUCACUGGAUCCGCUCUCGGCCUCCUACGGUCUGUGUGUUUCGACAGAUAUGUAAUAAUGUGAGUCUACCAUUAAGCGACUCACUUUUUGUUUAAACUUGAAGGCAAAUGCUCGAAACUGAAGGUUGGCUGCGCCUGGCCGCGGCUCUUGGUGGGGCUGAUGAAAAUUUGUACAUGGUUAUGAAGGUGAAGGUGUUUGUCCAGACGCCACAAUCGUCCAUCCUGUGACGUGUGCGCUGUGGUUUUAGGACACGCUGUCCAUUAAAGACCCCGCAGCCCACUCCUCUCGUCUUGCCCCUGCUCACACCCCCAUCCCGCUGGCUUCUCCCUGAGCACAUGCUGUGCCUCGGCUGUGCCCUCUGUCAUGAUAGGAUGUCCUUCCAGGGAAUCUUCUCCCCACCCUUUUGGCGUCCAGCUCGGCGGUCACUCAUGCAGUGGCUCGACAUCUUUGGUCUCCACAGAGUAGUACUUGGAUGCACGGGUAGCUCUCAGCCAAGGGCUCUUGGGUCAGGAGCCUCGUUCCUCCUCUCUGCCUGCCCCCACCCCCCCAUCCUCUCCAGACUCAGAGGAAGCUGGGGUGCGGAGCUUGGCGGGAGAGUGAGGGUACCGAAGAGAGAAAGGUUGGGUUUUCCCAAUCCCACACUCGCUAGAAGCUGGGGAGUCCCUGCUUGGGGUGGGUGAGCUUCCAGGGCAGUGACCCAGCGCUUUCUCAUUCCAGUCGAAGCCGCCAUCUGGAAUUCUCCGUGGAAGAGACCUCGACGCGCGACCCGGCACCCUCCGGCUUUCAAAUCGUAAGUUGCUGGAGCGUGGGGAACGCAUCUGUGGCCUUGUCACUGAGGGUGGGGGGCUGCCUCCCGGAGCACACUGCCAGGCAAGCCCCGCGGGAGGGAGUGGUGAGCACUGGCCAGUGGUCCGCUCACGGGGAGGUGGGUGCCCAGCGAGCCACACUGAUUGCGGACCUGGGGGGGCUUGUGUUCUAAGGCAGGACCCCCCAGCCUCCUUGUGUUGUCUCUGUGGCAAAAGAAUUCUAUAGGCGGCUUCGAGUGCCGGACCCCCAAAGAAUUCCUUCUCUUUCGAUCCUCUACCUGAAUGGCCCUUUCAUUAUUGAGUGUCCCUUUGGCUCUUGUGCCCCAGGGCAGACUAGGACGGAAGUGCCCUUGUGAGCUGGGGGGCCCUUCAAAGGGCCGAGGAAAAAACGCGGGCCGAGGGACCAGCCUCUCAAACGGGCU
rnacentral:lncRNA from 1 species